CCGCAGCGCCCAGCUCCCGCCCGCGCCGGCUGGGGGGCGCGACUGCCUGCCCGCCCCGCUGGGUCCCUGCCCGCGCCCAGGGCGGCCUCUCCAGCCCGGAAAGACAAAGGCUGAGAGAUAAGAGGAGUAAAUAUAGAGAAGGAGAGACAUCCCAGAACUGCUCCAGCACUCAUGAAGCUUCCCCUGCUGAUUGAGCCAGUCCUCUUCUGACUUCAGGGCACAUGGUCAGCCCAGGGCCUGAACCUGAGUCCUUGUGCAUGGUAACAUGUAUGCCCUAUUGGGUGAGCCACCUCUAGACCCUGCAUCUUUAUUUCUAAUUGUGGUAGAUUAUGCAUACCAUAACAUCUACCAUUACUUACAACUAGUGCAUUCACAGGACUGUGUACCAUCACCAUCAUGCUAUUCAAGAAUAUAUCAUCACCCCAAAAAGAAGCCUCAUACCCACAAAUAGUCACCCCUCACUCCACCCCCAGAUCAUGACAGCCAUCAUCCUGCUGUCUGUAUCUAUAGGGCUACGUGUAUGGACACUUCAUGUAAACAGAGUCAGAGGAUGUGCAGUUGUUGUGUCUGGUAUUAUUCAUGCAUUUUUCUGGUUGAAGAGCUACCAUGGCAUGGUUACUCUACAUUUGUUUAUCCAGAAGUUGGUGGACAUCUGGGUAGCUUAGACACUGAGCUUUAAUGUAGAGGUUCUGGCAUCAGGUCCCACACCUCUCCUUCCCUUUGUGGCCUCAUGUCUUAAGUCUUGUAGAUGCACCUGUAAAAUGGAGCUAUAACAUGUAAUCCCCAACCCACCCUGGAGACCUUUCAGAGCACAAGAAAAAUGAGCUGAGUGACUCAGGAGUUGGCAUGAAGGAGAAGAAGGAGAAACAGAGGAGGAAGACAGAAAAAGGAGAGGAGGAGGGAGGAAGAUAAGAAGGAUGGGGAGGGAGUCUGGCGGUAGCGCAGUGGGUUAAGCGCAUGUGUUAAGCGCAAAGCGCAAGAACCGUUGGAAGGAUCCUGGUUCAAGCCCCGGCUCCCCACCUGCAGUGGAGUCGCUUCACAGGCAGUGAAGCAGGUCUGCAGGUGUCUGUCUUUCUCUCCCCCUCUCUGUCUUCCCCUCCUCUCUCCAUUUCUCUCUGUCCUAUCCAACAACAAUAAUAACU